CUGAACAGUGGACCUCCAACAAAAGCAGAUGAGGAGGGCAUGUCAUUUGCAACUCCAAAAAAAUCCCACACUGAAGGAAAUUUUGACUCCCUUUUUGGCCAAUUUUUGGAAUUCUUCUUUGGCCAUUUGUGGGGGAACAGUGCACUCAAAUACCUGAUUUGGGGAAUUCUCCAGAAUAACAGCUUUCCUGAAGGACCAGACAAGCAGAUGUCUGAGGACUUUUGAUUUGACACUAGAGGAUCUGGACUCGAGGACCUAUUUUAAUCUCAAUAUCUGCUCUGGAAAGAACAAAGAAGCUAAUAUAAACCAGCCUUUUCAACAGAACUUUAAUUAACUAUGCACCGAUUUGCAUUUUAAGAGAUUAAGAGUGUGUCGCUGUCCAUUUCUGCAUAUCGCGGUGCUGUUUUGUGGCCCUCUUCAGCCAGUCAUGGCCCGUUCAUUUUGAACGAAUCUUUUAUGUGAUCAGAAGAACGAGUAGUCUCAGAGAGUGAUUCGUUCAUUUUGUGUUAGCUGCGCAUGUGCAUUGCACAACCUCUGUUCGUUUGUUAGGUGAAAACCACACAGGCGCUGUACAGGAAACAGAAAUGAUUAGUUCACCUCUCUCUGGUCCGAGUCGUUCGUUCUUUUGUCACGUGACAGCCGUAUACGCUAUGCAUUGCUCACACAGGAAACAGAAAUGAUUAGUUCACCUCUCAAGAUUCCAGAGGUGAACUAAUCAUUUCUGUUUCUCAUAAUUUGUCCUUGGCUGCAUUAUCAGUUUUUAUUUAUUGGGACUAUAAUCAAAGUUUGCUUAAAUAGACGUGUUGGGGGUGGGGGUUGGCUAUUGAAAAUGUAACAUUUUAAUUUAAUUCUGCUCAAAUGAACGAAAUGAACGAAAUUACUUGAAUAAAGAUUCGUUCAUUUUGCUGAACAAGACUCAAAGAUUAAAGUAGGUAAAAUGAUCCGAUCUUCCCAUCACUACUGAACAUGCCUUAAUGCUACUUAGCACAAGUUAGUAACGUGGGCAACCGAAACUAAGGGUCACGCGAGGUGACAAGCGCAGGAACAAACGCGACUUCAGUACACCUUAAAUAAAUUAUGCUACACUUUAGCAAUAAAUAAUUAUCUAAAACAAAUGAAGCACUGUUUAUAGACACUAAAAACAGCGAUAGUUUUACACACACUGGACAAACAACACUAAAUCUAACAGUGAAUACCCCGGGACAAGUCAAAACAACGUAGCACACACACCAACACACGUUUAAGCAACGCGAGUUCAAGCCAGUAAACAAACAGCACAAGUCUAGCAAUGAAUAGUACUCUACAACAAAUUAGAACAAUGGAAUAAACACAUUUACACGCAACUGCAGACUCCUGUAGAUAGAUCGCUUCUCCUGGCUCUCACAGUUUUUAUUAGUCUUGGUUAGUGUUCAUUUUAACAUACAGUAAUUUCAAAAUAGUAAAUCAAAAGUUAUAUAUGUAAACAUAAGUUAAUGCACUAUGAACUAACAUGAACUAAAAAUUAAAUGUAUCACUAAAAAGUACAGUUUCUGCAUGCAUAUGAAAUUUUAUGAAUUUCUACUUCCUUCUGCAUCCUGUUUAUUACCUCAAUUAAUUUUCCGUUAUUUAAUAGGAAUUUAACAGGCCUUCUCAAUUCAAUUCUAAAUGGCAUAGCCUACUACCUUGUUCGACAGGGUCCCAAAUGUUUUCUGAGUAGUCAUGCACGUUAACGUGAAAAUAAGGUGGUGCUUCAGAUAAUAACUUUUAAUAUGAUUCAGUUUGAUUGCCCAUGAUUUAAAGUGGAGUAUUGUCAUUUUCAUGAUGGAUUUUAAUAAAUAAAUGUAAAGCCAGAGUCCUUGACUGCAGUUUUACUGGGAUAGUUCAGACCGCUGACCCAAGAGGAUCACUUACUAUGCUCCAGAAUUCUGGAGAUCAGGUUUGCUUGCUUGGCUCAUCCCGGUGGUCCCCUGUCCUGUUUGGGAUAGAUAUGAUAUCAGGCUACACUCUCACUCAUUUUAUGGAUGCUGAAAGGCCAGAGCUUCCCUGACCACGUGGGCUCAUUUGGGAAUUCCCUGCCCCAGAACCCUCUGGACUGGGUACCAAUACAGAACCAAACCAUAACAUCGGUACACAGUACGCUUAUUAUAAUUUUCUCUGUUGAGUUAUAGAACCUGGUGGUGGUGUUCUCACACUUUAGAAGUGUUUUAAGAGGAAAUGUUGUCAUGCAAACUUGUUUAGCACUGACCAUGAUGAUGCAAAGCUGAUUUGUAAACCACUGUUUACACUCCCCACUAAUGUCUUGCUACAUUUUUUAUGGUUUACAAAGAGCACACAGGCUUGCAGCAUACCACUGUCGUACCAUCUAGAAGUAAAAAUGUACAGACAGGCUCAAAUUGCUAGUGUCACAGAAACAAUCCAUACUAAUACCAGCAGUUUGGUGAAUUAAACAUACCUGAAUUUGUUUUGACGAGUUUCAGCAUUUAUUUAAAUAUUGUAUUUGCUAAACAUAAGUUCCAUUUUAUAUUUAUAAAAAAAUACUAAAAUAAUAAUAAUUCAGUGUUUGACCUUAACACGCUGUUUUGGUAAUGUGGUGCUCAUGGUGUAAGAUGCAGAAAAAACAGCGAGACAUGCAACAAUGAUCAAAGAUAUAUGUAUAAUUACAUUUACAUAGACUAACAAUGAAAAAAUACCUUUUCUUUCUUCAGGCCUUCCUUAUCAGUGCUGGUGGUCUGUAACAAGCUCAGCGAGUUUUGUUGACAUGUCUGCAUCUGCCAGUCUAGGUGUCAGAGUUCCUCACACAACUGAUGCUUUUGACUUCUUUCCAUUUGUAUAAUGGAAAAUGUAGACGUUUGUCAAGAUAUUGUCAGGAAAACCAUUUCAGGAUCUCUUUGGCACUGCUGACAAUGACAUUAAACAGUCCAUCCUCAGAUAGCAUUAUUUAAUUUUAUGCAUUUCAUAAAUGCAUAUAGUGUAUAUUUAUUGUCUAAUAGAAUUGUAUGUAAUGCACUAAUUCACAUCUUUUUAAAAUAAAGAAU